rnacentral:lncRNA from 1 species
AGUUAAACACCCAGUCAUUCUGGGUAUUUUGCUAACAUUAAAGACACAAUAAUAAAGGACACAGUCCCAGUCCUCAAAUAUUUAUGUCUAUUGCAGAGAAAGUAGAGUAAAUACCCAGAUAAUUAUAACACAGGGGUGAUGCCCGCUAUAAAUGAGUUAAGCAUAAAUUGCUAUGGGAGAACAGAAGCAAGGGACCCUGACUUUCAAUGAGGAGGGAUGGAAAGGGACACCAGGUAGAGGUAAAAGAAAAAAUUACAGAGCAAGGCAGAAUACAGUCCACACAGGGAGCUGCAGGUGGUUCUAGACAGAGCUCUGGGUGAUACUUGAGAAAAGCAGGAAAUGAGGUUUAAGAGGUGGGUAGAGCCCACCCAGGUUGUGAUGGAAGCAUCACUUUAGGUAAGGUGAUCAGAGAAGGCUAAGAUCUGAAUGAAGAGAAAGCGUCAGCUAUGCAAAGCUCAGAGAGGAAAGCCUUGCCAGCUGAGAACUGUCCUCAGUGUACAGUUAAGUCUAUUCCAAGGAGUGGUUGGAGACUAGGGACUCUGGUUGUCAGAGGUGAGCAAAGCUAUUCCAAAUACUAUUCCCCUGACUAUUAUCUAAUCUCUUUUGUUGUCUUUGGAACCAUGGCUCUUUCCCAUCAAUGAAUUCAUUCAGUCCCUGUAAUCAACUCUGAUUAGUGUUGUUUAACAUCAAUCUUGUCUACUUUUUUUCAAAGAAAGAUACCAAUCAAUUCUGUACACCCCUGCUUGUUAAAAGCAGCACCUCUCCUGCUGACUUACCGUUCUCUUAAUCAAAAGGGCAGGAGGAAGCAGUUGGGAUUCACUUUUCUUUUUUUUUCCUUUCAAAGUACACAAAUGUCAACUUCCUCAAGGAUGUUUGGCAUAGCUGAGUUCAGUCAUGUAAUGUACAAAGUCAGCUUGAUCAAAAGGUUGCAGGCUGCCCACUGCUAAAAUGGAGGGAGAAAAGGAAACCGAGGGCUUCUCUGAAGUGUGAAUGAGUGCACAAGCCACUGUCACAUGUGUAUUUACACUGAGGACAUGCUGAGCUGACAAGGGAGUUCAGGAAACAAAAACCUCUACCGCUAUGCUUCUCUGUCUUCACCUUCAAAACUCGAGCGGCACUUUUCGUCUUUUCCUACUUUUAUUGUUGCACUCAGCUAAGGACUUUCCAUUUAGCUUUAUAGCAAAUCUGAGCCAUGGCCGUUUCUAUGUACUUAGAAAUUAUUUUCACUACCAAUCCCACAGUGUUUAGCUGAAGAGUAGAAUUGUCCUCGCUGAUCCUUGGACUUGAAAGUAUUAGCACCUAGAAUAGGCACCUGGUUGUUCAUUCAUUCACUCAUACCUUCUCUUAUUCUUUUAACAAAUCAGUAUCCAUCAUGUGGCUGUCAAUAUGACAAACCCUUGUCAACAAUUCCCCUGGAAGACACUUCUAACAGAAGCAGAAAAUAAAUUUUCCCAGGAGUUUAUUAUCUUAGAUUAAACUGUAACUCAAUUUGGUUUCAGAAAUAGGUAACGAGCUGUAAAUAAUACUUAUGGACAUGUCCAAACCUGAAUACACAUUCCCAUCAAUCAAAGGAGUAUCAUAUAUUGUUAUGGUCCCCAAACAAAACUGCAGAAGGUAUUUAAUAUUUGUAACAAUGUAGGGCUGGUAUAGUUCACAAGCAACAUUUUGCUUAACCUCAUCAUUGUUCUAAUGUGAAAACUAAAGUAAUGGGAAGAUAUAAGGUCACAUAGCUCUGAAUUCCAGCCAGAACUAGAGCUCAAGCUCCUAAGGAAGGGACUUUUAUUUCAUGACAUGACUAUUCAUUACCUAGGGGUGGGGGUGACCAAAGCCUUAAGGCCACUGAUAUGCAGGGACAAGGAGAGAAAGAUUCUAAAAGUCACUGAUCUUGAGAAAGGCUCUUCUUUUACUCUCUUGAAAUGCCUCUGAAAUCUUGGGAAGAACAAAGAAAAAGUUUAUGUAUAAGAGCAACAUUCUCCCUCUUUAUGGGUUCUAAAAAAAUCUCUUAGAGCAGUAUUUUCCAAACUUCCCUGAUCAUAACAAUCAACUAGGUUUCUUGUUUCAGAUACAAAUGCCAAGGUCACUCCAUGGAAGUUUCUGAUUCUCCUGGUCUGGCAGGGGCAUGUGCACUUUUCACAGUCCCUGAUGAUUCUUAGUAUCAGGGAUUUUUGGGAAACACUGUUCUAGAAAAACUUUUGCCAUAGUAGUUAAAAACUUCUUUAUUCCUCAUUAACUGUUUCAUUUUAAUGUCUUUUUUUAAAAAAAAUUAAAUAAAUUUUAUUGGAGUAUUGUAAUGUUGUGUUAAUUUCAGGUGUACAGCAAAGUGAAUUGGCCAUACAUAUACAUAUAUAUCCAUUCUUUUUCAGAUUCUUUCCCCAUAUAGGUUAACACAGAGUACUGGAUGGAUUUCUCUGAGCUAUAUAGUAGCUCCUUCUUACUGAUCAAUUUUGUAUAUGGUAGUGUGUAUAUGUGAAUCCCAACCUCCCAAUCCAUUCCUCCACCAAACGUUUCCCCUUUGGAAAACAUAUAUUUGGUUUUUAAGUCUUUGAGUCUGUUUCUGUUUUGCAAAUAAGUUAUUUCACAUCAUUUUUAUGAGAUUCCACAUAUUAGUGAUCUCAUAUGUGUCUUUUUCUGACAUAUUUCACUUAGUAUGACAAUCUCUAGGUCCAUCCAUGUUGCUUCAAAUGGCAUUAUUUUGUUCUUUAAUAUUCCAUUGCAUAUAUGUAUCCCCACAUAUUUUUUAUCCAAGAAAAUCAUAAUUUGAAAGGACACACAAACCCCAAUGUUCACUGCAGCAUUAUUUACAGUAGUCAAGACAUGGUAGCAACUUAAAUGUCCAUCAACAGAGGACUGGAUAAAGAAGAUGGUUCUUAACUAGCUUACUCUCACAAAAGCAUCAACCUAUAACUCCCAAGUAUCAAAGCCUAAUUUAUUAAUUAAAAAGCCUGUGCUAAGGCAACCUACUUUAACUGAAUAUAGAAUUUAUUUUCUUCACUUUUAUUUCACUGUCAAUCUGGUUGAUCAAGUUACUUAUUUCUUCUCUAUUCAAGGUGGCUUCAGAAAAAUCAAUCUGCCUUUGUGGCAUAGUAGAAAUUUAAGAAUAAUAAGAGAAAAGCAUACCAAAUAAAAAUAACAGGGAAAAGAAAGCUCUAUAUUUGAACCCAGUCCCUCUCUUAUUCAGAAUAGCAAAACAUCUGUCUCAUACCAUUUUGACAUAUAGAAAUAAGUCCUUUCAUAUCAUCUCACCUCUCUUUGAAAGGCAGUCUAUUUCUUUUCAAAUUUUAUCUGAGACAAAACUCUCCUGCUCUUCCACUUACCUUUUCAGAAGGAAAAAUCAGGAAACACUGCCUAAGAGGAGCUCACUUCUUGUAUCUUUCAGACUUUUAUUAAAUGGAUACCAUGCAAACUAACCAAAAAACAAAAAUACUCCUGUCACUUCUUUUGCAAUAAUCCUACAAUCUUGAGGAAAAUUGAAUUUUAGGGGAAGAAUGGUCCAUGCCCUCUUAUAAGCAUGAGAAGGAGGGGCAAUGACUAUAAAGAAUGUCUGUUAAUUGCGGUUGUACUGUAGUUAUAUUAAGGAUUGCACAAUUAAUUUUCACUAUCAAAUUAAACUGGUAAACAGGCCAAGAUUAAAAACACAAGUUUGCUCUACUUGUUUUUCUUAGUUAUAUACAAAGUAAUCAUAAAUUUAGUUUGCCAUCACUAGUAUAUUUUUACUUUGGGGGGAAAAUAUCUUUUUCCUCAUAAGGAAUAUUCAUAUUGAGAUGAUAAAGACCAUGAUCAAUGAUGUAUACAGUUGUAAGGGUAUGACUGCUGCUAAAAUAAGCCCCUAGUUUAGUAGACUAUUUCCUUUAGAAGCUUGAAGCACAGUAAUUUUUUCCUACUGGGAGAGAGUGUGUCUCUUGAGUGGGGCAGAGGCUGAGAGGCAGCAAGUGGUACAGCCUGCAGCAGGAAAUACACUUGACAGGCAGAAUCCAGGAAGAUCAGACAGCAUCAGAAUAGCUGUAGAGACGGUGCCUCAAGAUACCAGAGAUGUAUGGACUCUUGAGGCAUGAUUGAAAGAUUAUAGAUGGUGGGUGACCACAGUUUUAAGUCAGUCUUCAAUGGCCACAGCACUGGCAGCCAACAUUAGCCAGGUCUCUCUAAUUAUGUCAGUAAGCAGACUAGCCUCCCAGGUUAGGCUGGAACAACAACUAACAAGCUGCCCCUAGCCUCCUUCAGGAUUCAAAUGAUAAAGCCACAGCAAUCACAGCAGCGGCGGCAACAGCAAGAGCACGGUUUUGACCUGCAGUUCUUGCCCAUCAAAGAGCUGUGCCCUGUCUGCUCCCACUGACAAGCAGAUAAAUACAGAGAUCUGUCGGCAAGUACAUAUUUAUGUAUAUCUACAGCUCCUUCAUACAGACCUGCAGAGAAUGCAUAACAGCUUCCAGUGGUGUAACACAUGCACCCACUAAUGGGGUGAGACCCAUUACUCACAAAUGGGUGAAAAGAAGCAUCAACAUGCAGGUCUUAACCCCAGUUUGUGGGCAGAAACCUGUCAUUCCAUUGCAGGCCGAUAGGUCUCCUAUUCAGACAGUCCUUGUUUAAUUUUCCAAACACCCUUCCUCUAAAUGGUGCCAUUCUACGCUGUGCAGACAGACAGGUUUGACAAGCAGAGCCAUCAACUGCACAUUCCCUAUGCCAACUGCUGGGGAAAAUUAGGCCCAGUAAGUACCUG